rfam:Stegodyphus mimosarum contig40370, whole genome shotgun sequence.
GCGCAGGCUUUGUCGAGUGGUUACUUCGUAAGUACAGAAUUUGCGUUUCGGCAACUGCGUUAAAGACCACUGACACAAUCCUGCGUUUUU